UAAUGGAGGGGUAAAAACCUAAGAAGGGUGACUACAUAGAGUAAACCGACCCGUGGUUGCCUAUGGGCUCGAGGCCUAACUCAGAAAAGGAAAAAGAAAAGAGGAAAGGGGAGUGUCAGGAUGAGAAACAGAGGUGCUAAACUCUUUAUUAGAGUUUUCAGAAGUGCCAAUGGGCUUAAGCCCAACCAGGAAAAAUGAAGAGGUGCACAGUCGAGAAAUAGGGGUACAGCGAAGGAGGAAGGUUUCUUAAGAAAAAUCUGGAGCCCAACAACUUGGCCCAAGGGUUUCAGCAGAAGCUUUAGGGGUUCAAGCCAGCUCCCUCUCAUUCUGCCAUUUCACUCAAAUGAGACCUAGGGUCUUCUUCUCUGGGCAAGAAAACCCAGAGACAUUCACCUUCCGCCGUUAGACGACCACGUCCUAGCCGCAAUUCGAAUGGCCACCGAGAGCCGCCGUCGGCGGCGUCACCAAUGCCUUCACCGGAAGAGCCACCGCCCUUCACGCCGGACCACCAUCUCGUCCUCUCUUCUUCGCGUGAGACCGACCCCAACUCCGAGAUGCCCCCACUCCCGCCGCCGUCGACGAAAUCAACUAUACAAACCGGAAGUCGAGGCCGCGCUGGCGACGUUGCUCGCCGCCGGAGUCGUCGCCGGCUGCCAGGUUGUCUCCUUUCCUCACGCGCGAGAUCACCAGAACGCCACCAAUCACAGCGUCUAGGUCCUCUUAAUCAACUUUUCUUCUUCAGCAUGCGUAGGAAAUUCUAAGACAGGCACAUCAUAAACACUUGUCUCCAUGGAACAAGAGGUUCGACCAACUGGUUUCUCAUGCCCAAGGGGUUCACACAAAGCGGUCCACCAUAGGCUAUUUCUUUUGUUGGCAACGAGGGUGACGCAGUCGGAGUGGCAGUGGUUGGACCUAAAAACGACGCCGAAUCGAUCUAGAUCGCAGGGGGGCGGUGGCGGCGUGCGUCACUUUGACGGCGCCGGAGGCAAGGCCAAACACCAAAUUCUGUUGCCCUUGUUUGAAUGUAUUGGAUAAGGGGAAAGGAGGUCUCUGAUUGAGUGUAGCUUCAACGUAUACCACUACCCAGAUUGAGGGGAACCUAUGGUUUACUAGAGGAACAAAAAAAAGCUUCUAUUCUUUCGGUUCUUUGCAUAAGAAAUACAUCUGUUUUUGCUUUUGUUUGCCUUUUGCUGCAUUUUUCUAUGGUGUUUUUUUCUAGGUGCAAAUAGAUAGGUAUAUUGGUUUUGAUGUUAGGGAAUAUGCACUAUGUCCUAUUGUCAGUUAAAUAUGAUGGGUUUUACAAGCAUUGAAACUGCAUUUUGGGUGCAGUUUUCUGAUUGACAGAGGAUAUCACAGAGUAAACGAACAUAACCACAUACACGCAUAUUUCAUUCAUAUUCCAGACAUGUAACAGAGACAUAUAACAGGGGCAUGUAACAAAGCAGCAGGCAUUCACAAAGACCAAGAGCUUGAAGAAGACAACCUACCUUCGCCGCUUCAAAGAACUGGUGAAGUCAAAUGGUUCUCCUCUUCUCUGGCUGUGAGGUGUUCCUUCUUCCCAAGUGGUGAUGAUCAGUGAUGGCAAUGGUAGUGGGUCUCCAAUGUUUUUGUGAGGGUCCGGUGUUUCUUCAAUAGUGAGGUUGAUAAUGAGGUGUUGGAUAUGAAUGAUGUUAUUUUGUUCUGAUAGUAUUUUUUUUGUGCUCUUGGUGUGAGUGAUGGUGAAUGAAUAAUGCUCUUCUCCUCUCCCUGCUUUCUGACUCUUCAAGGCCUAUCCCCAGGAUCUCCCCUUUGUCCUUCUCUUUUGUUUUGCGUUCGAUUUCAUGUUUGUCUUUUUCCUUUUCUCAUGUAUUCAUUGUAUUAGUUGACAAACAAAAUAUUCCAAAUAUUUCUCCUUUUA